ensembl:Mt_rRNA
GCCACUUCUAGCCCAACCACCCACCCGAAUAACUAAAUACAUACCUAAAACAAAACAUUUACCACGCUUAAAGUAUAGGAGAUAGAAAUAUGUCUUAGGAGCUAUAGAGAUAGUACCGUAAGGGAAAGAUGAAAGAUCAGUUAACAGCACUAAAAAGCAAAGAUUCACCCUUGUACCUUUUGCAUAAUGAAUUAGCUAGAAACCAUUUGGCAAAAAGAAUUUUAGUCAAAGACCCCGAAACUAGACGAGCUAUCUGUGAGCAGUUUUAAGAACGAACCCGUCUAUGUAGCAAAAUAGUGGGACGACUUACAGAUAGUGGUGAAAAGCCAAACGAGCCUAGUGAUAGCUGGUUGUCCAGGUUAGAAUUUUAGUUCAACUUUAUGUUUACCAACAAGAAACUACAAUCAAAAUGUAAGCAUAAAACUUAAUCUAAGGGGGGACAGCCCCUUAGAAUCAGGAUACAGCCUGAAUUGGAGAGUAAGUUUAAUCUAUUACCAUAGUUGGCCUAAAAGCAGCCACCAAUUAAGAAAGCGUUAAAGCUCAACACUAACCAAAAAACUAAAUUCCAUAUAAGAUCAUCAACUCCCAAAAACACACUGGACCAAUCUAUACACCUAUAGAAGAGAUACUGCUAAUAUGAGUAACAAGAACCCACCUUCUCCCCAGCACAAGCCUAUAUCAGAUCGCAUAUACUCUGAUAGUUAACAUCUAUACGUAAACACCCCACACCUAAAAACCUACGUAACUUUAACUGUUGACCCGACACAGGAGUGCAUCUAAGGAAAGAUUAAAAGGAGUGGAAGGAACUCGGCAAACCCAAGCCCCGCCUGUUUACCAAAAACAUCACCUCUAGCAUCGCAAGUAUUAGAGGCACUGCCUGCCCAGUGACGCAAGUUCAACGGCCGCGGUAUCCUGACCGUGCAAAGGUAGCAUAAUCACUUGUUCCUUAAUUAGGGACUUGUAUGAACGGCAACACGAGGGCUUAACUGUCUCCCACCCCAGAUCAGUGAAAUUGACCUCCCCGUGAAGAGGCGGGGAUACAACAAUAAGACGAGAAGACCCUAUGGAGCUUUAAUUAACUGGCUUACACAAAUAAACUACCCCUCCACGCGAACACAACAAAUUAUGUCUCUGAGCCAGAAAUUUUGGUUGGGGUGACCUCGGAGUAUAAAUCAACCUCCGAAUGGAUACAGCCAUGACUAACCAGUCUAAGCAACUAAACCAUCAAUUGACCCAAUUUAUUGAUCAAUGGAACAAGUUACCCUAGGGAUAACAGCGCAAUCCUAUUCUAGAGUCCAUAUCGACAAUAGGGUUUACGACCUCGAUGUUGGAUCAGGACACCCAAAUGGUGCAACCGCUAUUAAAGGUUCGUUUGUUCAACGAUUAAAGUCCUACGUGAUCUGAGUUCAGACCGGAGUAAUCCAGGUCGGUUUCUAUCUAUUCACCCACUUCUCCCAGUACGAAAGGACAAGAGAAGUAGAGCCCACUGCACCCCAGCGCUCUAAGCCUAAUAGAUGAAAUAAUCUUAAUCUAGUAAACUAACCCCACCCUGCCCAAGACCAGGGUUU